UACGUAGGUGGCAAGCGUUGUGCGGAAUUAUUGGGCGUAAAGGGCGCGUAGGCGGUUUCUUAAGUCUGAUGUGAAAGCCCCCGGCUCAACCGGGGAGGGUCAUUGGAAACUGGGAAACUUGAGUGCAGAAGAGGAAAGUGGAAUUCCAAGUGUAGCGGUGAAAUGCGUAGAGAUUUGGAGGAACACCAGUGGCGAAGGCGACUUUCUGGUCUGUAACUGACGCUGAGGCGCGAAAGCGUGGGGAGCAAACAGG
rnacentral:rRNA from 1 species